AGAGUUGAUCAUGGCUCAGGAUGAACGCUAGCUACAGGCUAACACAUGCAAGUCGAGGGGCAGCAUGAUCGAAGCUUGCUUGAUGAUGGCGACCGGCGCACGGGUGAGUAACGCGUAUCCAACCUUCCCUAUAGUAGAGAAUAGCCCGGCGAAAGUCGGAUUAAUGCUCUAUGUUGUAUUUAGAGGACAUCUGAAGAAUACCAAAAGGUUUACCGCUAUAGGAUGGGGAUGCGUCUGAUUAGGUAGUAGGCGGGGUAACGGCCCACCUAGCCGACGAUCAGUAGGGGUUCUGAGAGGAAGGUCCCCCACAUUGGAACUGAGACACGGUCCAAACUCCUACGGGAGGCAGCAGUGAGGAAUAUUGGUCAAUGGACGGAAGUCUGAACCAGCCAAGUAAGCGUGCAGGAUGACGGCCCUAUGGGUUGUAAACUGCUUUUAUAUAGGGAUAAAGUCGGGGACGUGUCCCCGUUUGUAGGUACUAUAUGAAUAAGGACCGGCUAAUUCCGUGCCAGCCGCCGC
rnacentral:rRNA from 1 species